CGCCGUCCCACUUUUCGGCCCGCGGCAGAGUUUUCUCCUCCGUCGCUGCAGUGAUGCCAGGUCCGGGAAAUAGUUGAUGUGAGAGGCGGAAGCGUCUGAGAGUACCAACCCUCCGGCCCUCAGUCCUCACCGUGGAGAGAUGGACGACAGACUCACGUGGUCGGUGCAAGUAUAUCGACCAGACCCCUUGUCAGAGAAAGAAAACAGUGUAAUGUGUGCGUUGGUGAAAAAGUUCCUGAUCCAUCCAUCCAUCCAUCCAUCCACCCAGACAGACAGACGUAUAGACAUCCAAACACAUAGGAGUUUAAAGAUGGAGUGACGGUCAGACUUCCCAGGUGGACAAAGCAGGGCUUGGCGUCAGCUGGGCCUGGAUCUGUGCCUUCGCUGCCGCUCUAGACGCUGCAAAGGGCUGAGGGUG